rnacentral:lncRNA from 1 species
GUUUGGUUGCUCGUAUGUAGUAGGAGUGUGCGAAUGACAUGGGGCCCCUAUUUGCGAGCGAUCAAGAUGCGGGAGACAAAGGGCGGUUAUGGUGCUGGCCGCAGGCCGUCAACUCUGCAGAAAUGUAGUAAAGGCUAGCUCGCGGGCCACCAUGUGAAAUCGAUACGAUGUGAGGCCGCGCCACGCCUUGGCCACCGCAGGGUCAGAUGGGAACGGCUGAACUCGUGACUGUUGAAGAGUAGAAGACGUAUUAAGGUACGAUAGUAAUGGCUGAGAACUUCCAGUCACCUUAGAUCUUCAUAUCUAAAUUUUGAAAAUGAACUUUAUGUCAAAUAAAAGGUUGCUUGGUGUGUAAUAA